rnacentral:lncRNA from 1 species
CUCAGUGAUGAUAAGGGUGUAACCAGUGGAUGUCCAUACCCUAAUGUGACAGGUGACACGGAUUCUUGGAGAAGGAACGUGGUAGAGCUGGGAGUUGCAAAAAUGCAAGGCCACAGAGAGAGGUGGGCAGAGGGACAGAGGGCCCUUCUACCCUUCAGGCCCGGGUUGGGUCCGAGUGGGCUUGGGGAUAAUGGGAGGAGACCAAAGGAAGAAGAGAGGGGAAAGAGCCCCAGACCUGAGGCACAUGGAGCACCAGCAUCUGAAGCUCACUGUUUCCCUGUGGCCAUCGGGAUCUUCAGGACCUAACUUGGCCCCUGAUGUCCUAGAGCACUAGAUCACUCAGAUCAUAUCACCUCUUGGCGCUGAGCUGUGCACCUGGUGGGCAUCCUCACCCUGCAGGAGCAAACAGGAGGCUCCAGGAAGAGCUUGUUCACUAUGAGGGCACAAGCCAGGCCCCUGCCCCCCCUGCUCCAUCCAUUUGAGGCUCCCUUGAUGUCAACACAGAGCCAGUGCGAAGGGCCUCUGCCCUCAUCAGACAGAGCGGUUCCGCCUGGACAGCCCACAGCUGCUCAUUUCCUCUGCAGGUUUAAGGAGAGUCACCGGCUUGACCUGCACGUCUUGGGUGGUGUUCACAUCCCUGCAAUCAUGCAUUUGAAUAAAUCACCUUGUCACAUGCCACAGGCAAGUGUGGUUAGAUCUCAGUUUCCCCAGUGGUGGAGGGAAGGGAACCCCCACUUGGACUUGCAGGGAGUCUAACAUACAGCUCCCC